AGAAUGGGCCAUGUUCUUUUCGUUGUGACAUGUUAGCCCACCUUUGUUUCCCUUCUUGCUUUUUAUCACAACAAUUAUCUUGUGCGUCGACGACCUGGUUCCCCCGCGGCGGACAUCACCCUAAAAUCAUCAAUCCUAUCCACAGAUAAACGUUACCAUUCGCCGGUGACCAAGGUUGAAGAGAUGCUGAGCCUCGCUUCUGAGGUUCUCCUGCAUCAUUGCCACCCAAAAAGCACAACAUGCAUACGGUAUCUGAGCUCCGCCCAGAUUGCCCACGCUCUGAGGCCAUUUUAUUUUGUGGUGCAUCCAGAUCUGUUCCACCGCCACCCUGAGCAAAAGAGUGUCAAUGAAGGCUCUCUCCAGUUUUUGCAAGCUCACCUGGACAAGCUUCUGAACUCAAAGAGGGUGACUGAGAGCACUGUCACAUUUUUUGUGCGUGACAUUGAUAGGAAAUGUGAGAAAAGCCAAGCGGCGUCACAGGUGCGGAUCGCGCUGCAGCCUGACCUCAAGCGGACUGUGCGCACUGUGCUGGAGACGUGCCACCUGCCCACUACCUACCUGGACAGCCUGCCACCAGCUGGGCCACGUCGCCGGCCGCCGCGGCGCGCCCACCCGCUGGAUGACCUGUUCGCCGAGAUGGCG